UUGUUCUCCUCAGAUGGAUUGGUUCUUUGGAGGAUUGCAGUUCCAGCUUGAGCAUCAUCUGUUUCCAAGGCUACCAAGGUGCCAAUUAAGGAAAAUUUCCCCUAUAGUGCAGGAGCUAUGCAAAAAGCACAAUUUGUCCUACAGAAGUUUGUCCUUCUUUGAGGCCAAUAGGUGGACAAUAAGGACACUCAGGACUGCGGCAAUGCAGGCUAGG
rnacentral:misc_RNA from 1 species